rnacentral:tRNA from 1 species
ACCCGGCUGGCUCAGCCAGCAGAGCGUGUGACUCUCAAUCUCGGGGUUGUGGGUUUGAGCCCCACGUCGGCCG